rnacentral:lncRNA from 1 species
CUCCAAAAUUCCCUAAGGUUAAGGUAAUCAUGGUUUUUCACAUAGGGCUAGGGUAUGAGCUUCAAAAACAAAGAAAUGGGGAAAGUAAAGGCUCAAAGGGGCUAUCAAAGGAUCACAACAAGGUAGGCUCAUCUGGCUAGAGAGGCUCAACAACAAAAUUGCCUUUAUCACUUCCAAACAUGCAUAUCAAUCAAGAAUCAUAAAAAAAAGUCAAGCCAAGGCAUAUGCGCAAGCAAUCAAGAGACAUAUCUCACACAAGAAAGAACAUUAAGUGGUUGAUGAGUUGAUAUUUUAUUGAUUUCACUUAGUUUAUUGUGCUAGAAUUAAUCAGAGAAUUGUGCUUAAUUGUCUGGUAUUUUCCCGUUUUUCCUAAUUAUGCUUAAUUUGACCGGAAAUUCUAAUUUUAGUUAAUUUGAAUUUUCUGAGCUAAUUAUUUGCAUUAUUAUUUUCAGGGAAAAUUUCGGAAAUAUAAUUUGGGACAUUUGGAGAUUAAAUAAUCGACAACCACCACCCAC